rnacentral:lncRNA from 1 species
UUCUACCCAAAAGAUGAGCCACAGAGUCGCUCAGAUCUAACUUAAAAACAAGUAUCUUUCCCCACUUGGCCAGGAGACGGUUUCACUGGCAGCCAUUACUAGACGUGCAGGAAGAAUUUACAUGGCUUGGGCUGAGGUUGGAAAACAGGAAAAAUAUAAACACCAGUGAUAGAGACAGGAGGCAGCCAAGGACCCCUCCUGCCCCCAACACCUGACGAAAUGCCGCCUUCAAGCCUAAAACAGCAUGAGGGAUGAAAAACCAGACUGCCGGUCCGGAUGAAGCCCACCCUUUUCCCCAAAUGAUUCUUUCUGAAUAACGCCCAUCUGCACAUUGGGAGGAGGGGGUGGGGCCUUGGGAAGUUUGCACUGUUUGCAGGGGGGAGGAGCCUGGUCUCUCUCGUUUCUGUGUGGUAAGGUGGGAUUUAAUCCCUGAGAUGGAGAGCCUGUUAGCAGGACUCUUAUCUCACUUUGCUGAUGCGUAUUUCCUUUUUCAUUUCUGCCUAAUAAAUUCCACUUGUCACCCUUCUACGUGUCUGCGAGCCUAAUCUUUCCUGGUCGUGUGACAAGAACCCCGUUUUUUUUCCUGCAACGCUAGAGUCACAGAAUUAUUUUUUGAAUCUUAAUGAAUGAUACCUCACAUUCUCUAUGGCUAGAAUGUUCCUCUCCCAGAUACCAUGACUUGGCCCCUUCACUUCAGUUAGGUCUCUGCUCAAAUGUUAUCUGUGAAACAUAGAAAACGGCA